AAAACGACUCUCGGMAACGGAUAUCUCGGYUCUCGCAUCGAUGAAGRAGGUAGCGAAAUGCGAUACUUGGUGUGAAUUGCAGAAUCCCGUGAACCAUCGAGUCUUUGAACGCAAGUUGCGCCCAAAGCCUUUUGGUUGAGGGCACGUCUGCCUGGGUGUCACAC
rnacentral:rRNA from 1 species